AUCGCAUUGACCUACUUGUUUCUAUAUUUACGACUAAAAAGAAAAUUUUGAACAUGGGUGACAGAAUUGCGGUUUCUAGAUAGUUUUAUUUGCAGAGAAAAUUAUCAAAAAAAAAAAGAAAUGUUCGUUAAUGAGGCGGAGGAAAGAAAAAAAUAUUUUAAUUCUACAGGGAAGAAACAUAUUUUUUCAAUGGCUAUUUAAAAUUUGUUCUCAUAUGUGGUAGCUAUUAACUAAAUUAUUAUUAUAAUCGAGUUUAAUUUCAAGUUUAAAUAAGAAGACAAUGAAUAGGUGCAUUAUAAAUUAUAAUAUAAUUAAAUUAGUCAUACUAUACCAACUUUCUGGGAAACUUUUUUGAUAGUUUAUAAAUAUAUAUAUAAUUUAUAUUUAAAAUUAUUGCAGAAUGCAGAAAAAAAAUUCGAAAUAAACGACGGGAGCGACGGGUAUGCAUGAGUAAUUCAUAAAUGUUGUCACAGUUAAUUUUCAGAACUAGUAAUAUAUUUAACAUUACACAGGACAAUUCUUUAUAACUAUUAACUAAGAUACAGCUGAAAAAGUAAACAAUUAGUUAAUUUAUAAAGUUCUGUUGUAAAUAUAAAGUAAAAUAGUUAAGUAAAUAAAAGCAUUUAUUAAAUAUUUAAUUGAUAAAAAUAAGAUACCUAUAUUGGUACAAUUUAAAUUAUAUAUUAUAAGCGCCAAUUGGAUACCUAAAUGAAAAAUAUUCGUUACGAUACAUUUGCGGAUUUUCGGAUGUUCGAAGAAUUAAAAUCAAAAUAAUAUAAAUUAUAUACAAUUAUAAAAGAAAAGAAUUUUUAACAGUGUUCUCAUGGUAUUCUUAUAUAUUCAAAAUGUCAAUUAAUAAUUUUAUUUCACUGUAUACAACGCGUACUUCAGUUAAGUUUUUAGAUUUUUCAAAAAUAUUAAAUUAAAUUUGUUUUUAUACGUUACGUGUGUUUUGCUCUAAGUUUAAACGGACGUAUCUGUUGGUGUUGCAAACAUUCUUAGAUGUUGAUAUUUUAUUAUUGAUAUCGUUAGAUUUCGAUUUAUAGAGCUGUUUUGUGGGUAUACAGUGAUAAUGAACAGACAUCGAUACAUAAUAUAUUGAUACGAUCGUGUAUCUGCGUUAUAUCAAAACACGUUAGACCGUGAGAGACUGCACUGUUAUAAAAGUCGUGUGAAAAAUGAAAAUAAAUUUGGGCCAUCCAAACGAAGACAAUUAUUAUUCUCGAGGAACAAGUGGAGAAACUCAGAAACGGGUGUAAAUCUCAUUGUACUGACUACUGAUAACUUGUACACAUUUGUUUUCGACCGAGGAUGACUCGGAUACCGACAAUCAUCAUCAUAUUAUGAUAAUAAUCAUCGUGAGAUAUAAAAAAGGGAAAACGUUCAACAUCUAUAUUAUUAUGUGUAUUAUAUAUGUACGCUUCUUGCUUCUACGACGCACUCAUAAUCAUUAUUGUAUAGUCGGCUUUCAUGAUACCAAUUUAAAAGUUUAUCGCGUUUUGUAUUGGGCAUGGGCAUGAAUUUAUAUAUACCGCGCAGAUACCUAUCAGUAGUCUAAUUAAGAUUUUUAUGCAAACGCGUUUUCUGAAAGGCGGACUGACGUUGUUGUAUUAUAUACUAUGGGUUCUGAUGAAUUGUAGUCUCCAGAGUGGUAGUCGAAAGGAUAUGGAAUUGUAUACCUACAUUGUGAUGGAUUAUUAACUGCGAUGAACUACGAAGCAACCACAUCACUAGUGAUAAUAAUCGAUUACCGUUUGUUACAUACUUAAAUAAUAAAUAUGUAAAUAAUUAAUAUGUCACUUAGAAUUUUACAGAAAUUGUAGAUUAUUAUUUUAAUCUAUGUUUACCUACCGUAUACUUAUAUCAAAACGAACUAUCAUCGGCAUAUAAGAAUAUCGUAAACAGUUUUCAAAAAUGAACAAGUAACCUCUUAAAAGAAACAAAAUAUUUGUGUUUUCGCGUCACAGAUUGCUGUAACAGAUAAAAAAUUAACUGUUAAAGUAUUGAGAAACUUAGCGGAUUUUUUGUUUUCAAUAAGACAAUAAUACACCGUCCAGCAGAGUGACGAUUGAGCCGUGACCUGCACGACCAGCUGCAGUCUGCUAACUAUAUAAAAACGCUACUGCAUCCUGUUUAAUAUUUUGAGCGGAACUAUUUGAUUUUGAUUUUACAAUGAUGUAUAUUUUUAUAUUUUGAAUACACCAUAAGUAGUUGAAUAAUGCUUCAAUCUUGAAGGUUAUUUUAAAUAGUGAAUUGGAUUUAGUUUGUACUUAUUAGUGAGGUAAACAUUUUCGAUUUAUUUUAA